rnacentral:lncRNA from 1 species
UUUUGACACAGCUCAGUAUGACCCCAAAAAACUGGUAUUGCUAGUUGGUAUUAUUAGGCUGUAGCUGGCAUAAUAAAAUAGAGUUUUUAUAUGCAAAUCCAAAACAUUUCCUGUAAAUGAACUUAAAGGAUAUAUACAAUCAUCAUCAACUUCCUGCAGUUUUCAAAUUCUCUCACAUGACAUUGGUUGACCAAUGGCUCUAUUAAAAGACACUUACCCAAAGUGCUGUAUGGUGGGACCAAAUCUAAAACCAUGUAGUUGCAAAGCAAACUGCUUAAUCACACAAUCAUACUUCUAUUUCCUUCAUAAUGCAAUAAAGUUACUGGGAAGGAAUUUCUCUAGUUUGUAGAAUUAAAUAUGUGAGAAAAUCUUUUUUUGCUCGUGAAUAGUCAAUUGAAAACUUUGUUAAUCUUGAGAAAUAUAGAGUAACAAUUUUGUUGAGAAAUAUGUAACUAACAGUUUGUGAUUAACUGUUGUGGAGUUAGAUAUUUUAACUGAUAAAAGCUAACAGAAUAGCUAAAGAGCAGUUCUUGUGAGUUAUGUUAAUCUUACUAAAAUGUUAGACUAACUUCAGUAGUCAGUUGUUAUAAAUGUUGUUUAUAUUUAAGUAAUGUCAAUAUCAUUUCAAUAUCCAGUGGUAUCUUCAUUAGUUUUUAUAAAGAAACUUGGUCUAAUUGUAGCUGUUACUCAGUAUCUUGUUGUUGUUAUUAAUAUGACUGAAGUAAAUUGUGAUAGUUGUCAGGAUCAGUGGAGUGACAGACAUUUAGUUACAGCCCUUUACAUUUUGAGUUCAAAUUCUUCCAAGUUCAACUUGACAUGUCAUAAAUGAAAUAAAGUAUCCCUUAAAAAUUGGGAUCAAUCUUAAUGAACAACUAUGUCUUUCCCCAUAAUGAUGUGGGCUUGUGUUAAUGCUAAAAUUCAGCAAUAUUUCUGUGAAUAGGGCAGCAGAAAUGACCAGGAUAGUUCAGUCCUGGACUAAAUGUUACAGUAUUUAGUUUCAUGUUACAGUAUUUAGUUUUAUUAUGUUACAGUAUUUAGUUCAAAUCCUGUUUAAAGUCAACUUUACUAUCUUUUACAAACCAACUUUGGUUUUCAUUUCACUUGAGUUGAAAAAAUAAAUAGCAGCAAGACAAGCAUGAACACCAUUUUUUUCAACAAGAAACUAUAUUAUUUCACUGAUUUGGAAAUUAUUUUAAAUUUGUUAAUUCCUAUUUUGUCUGAAUUUUUACCAUUGUUGAAUUUGCAACUUCGUGUCUUGCCAUUUUUAUGUCUUUCUAGUCUGUUAGAUCUGUUUCCUAUUAUCUCCUCUCUAAACUUUAUUCUGGUUGGAAAAAUUGAUUUUGUGAUAUGUUAUAAAUAGCUAUUGGGUAUGGUAUUUUGAAAGAAAUAUUUUUGUUUUAUUUGUUAUCCUUGUAAAACAUUUCUGUGACAUAACUAUUUUCAGGCAAUUAUGACUUCAUAUAUAAAAUAUAUUGUAAGAGAGUACUCAGUAUGUUGGGUACAACAGAUGCUUUUAUUAUGAUAUUGUAGAUUAAUGCUAACAUGCCAUCUUAAAGAUGGCAUGUUGAAGAUAUUUACAAAAAAUUUGUACUCAACCAAUUAAAAAAUUCUUUUUUGCCCAGUCUGAGUUCAUAUUUACAUAUUCUUAUCUAUAAAGAUGUGUGUAUAUAUAUAUGCAUGUAUGUAUGUAUAUAUAUAUAUAUAUAUAUAUAUAUAUAUUUGUGUGGUGUGCCUGCAUAUACAUACAUAUGUAUAUAUAUAUGUUUGUUUUAUGUACAUAUAAUUACAUCAGGAGCUGUGUAGUGAUUGUGAGUAUAUCUAUUAGUUUCACCUUUGAAUGUAAUUUUAUUUUUUAUGCUCCUACUCCUUUUUCUCUCCAUCUCUCCCCUUCUUUUAUAUAAAAACACAUUCUCUCUUUCCCUCACCAUAUCACCAUAUAUAUAUAUAUAUGUGUGUGUGUAUUGUUGAAAUGUGCAGAAAACAAAUUAUUUGUAUCGCAGAUAUUUCAUGACAUAUGUUUCAAUGAUCACUCAAACCAAUUAGAGAUCAUUUCAUCAGAUGGUGUGAUGGUGUUCAUUUCAUCUAUUAUUGCUAUGCUAUAAUCCAAGUCCCUGUUAAUGCUGGUUUAUAGACAACAUUAGAGAAUAAGUGUUUAGUAUAGGUGAAACUUGAACCCUAAUCCCUAUGGUAACUUAUUGUGCAUUUCAGCACAUCAGUAUAUAUAUAUAUAUAUAUAUAUAUAUAUAUAUAUAUAUAUAUAUAUAUAGUGUUGAGUAUUCUUUUUUCUUGCUUGUAAAUCCAUACAUGUAUUAUAUAUAUAUAUUUAAUAAUAGAAGCAAAAUACACUAGAUCUUGGACUACCUCCUCAUUGAAAUCCAUAAAACAUGUAGUUAUUUUCAUGAAGUCUAAUAAGAAAAUUUUAAGAUUUUGAUCAAGAUGUUUUGUUGAAGGAGAAACAAGAUGCCUCUUUGGAAGACUGAAAAUAGGGCUGAGGAGUAUAAGAAACCUGUAGAGGAAUGGAAGAUGACCAUACAUAGAGGAUGGUAGUUGGUAGUAACAUGAUAGAAUAAAGAAGAAAAUCAGGGAAAGGGAAGGAGAAAAGGGAUAAUGAAGUGAAUAGAAAUAAUAAAGGAACAUGUCUAUACAUUUAUGCAGGAGUGUGUGUGUGUGUAUGUAUGUAUGUAGAUACGUCUAUAUAUAUAUAUAUAUAUAUAUAUAUAUGUAUAUAUAUAUAUAUUAUGUAUGUAUAUAUAUAUGUAUGUAUAUAUGUAUGUAGCUGGACUCAAGAGUCAUCUUCGUAGUCAUAAAGUGAGACAGAUGAGUGACAACCUGGCCACUGGUGGUGGUGUAACACACCAUACUAAUCAUAUCUGUCGGGCAUGUGGACAAGAGUGUAAUUCGGCAGGAGGACUUAAAUGACAUGCAAAGGUACAUGAAGCCCAGUUACAACUACAGCUGGCUAUUACCGGUAAAGGUUUUAGCUGCCAAUUCUGUACAAGACAUUAUUGAUCUUUUGCUGGGCUAAAAAGUCACAUUUGAUCACAGCACCAAUAACAGUUAAGCUUCGUGCAAUGGCCAUACUCGAUAACGAGGGGGCAGCCAUAAUAAUAUAUGUAUGUGCACUUGGCAAUAUUGACAACUCUUCAGACAUGGUUGUUGGAAGCAUGAAAAGUUGUGAAUAUUAUGAAGUACAUUAUUUGAUAUGAAACUGAUGGUAACACAUUGACCAGUUAUAUACUAUAAUCAGCAAUAUACUAUCUGAUGAUAUAAAAAUGUAACCAUUCUAUUUCUCAUAUUGAGUGAGCUUUCUUCCUGACUUAUAGACAACUAACUGAUAAUACAUACAUAUGCACAUCAUCAUCAUUUAACAUCUACUUUUCCAUGCUUGCAUGGGUCAGAUGAAGUUUGUUGAAGCAGAUUUUAUAGUCAAAUGCUCUGUCAACAACUAUCACAUGAUUCCAAGCAUGGUGUGUGUGUAUAUAUAUACAUACGCACACACACACAUAUUUGAUGUGAUAGACUGUUUUUACCUACUUGGUCAAAUCUAGAGGUGUUUUGUUUUAUCUAUGGCCAGAAUCCUUUUCUCUUCUCCCCUUUUCAUAUAUAUGUUUCUUAUGAUACAAAACAUUCUUUGUUUUAAAGUAUUCAUAUUCAAUUAAAAUUUUCCAUUAUAAUUCUAUACAUUUGUUAUAUUCCAAAUAGUAGCUUAAUUGUAAAAGAAUUAUUUUACUAAAUUCCCUUAAAAGACUUUGAUUAUGUUAAAAAUUAAUUGGAAUUCCCUAAACAGUGUAUUUCCUUAGACAUAGGGUCAUGAUUGGUUAUUCUACACUGCCUCAGUUAAUUUAGCUGUUAGCAAUGAGUACCAGAUGAUCAGGAAAUGUUUACUUGUGACAGACUAGUGUUCUGUCCAUGUAGUGGUUUAUCUCUUAUCUAAUUAACGCUAUAAAUAAAGUGAAAUUAAUUACCAUGUCUUAAGAGGCAUUACAUAUUUUUACAUUAUAUGUAUUUUUUUAAACUUUUUCUCCAGAAUGAAAUAUUUUAGUUCUUUUGAGAAGUCAGAACAUAGCUUAAGCAGUUUUGUUUUCAGAAGUUGAUUUAUCCUGGAUUAGAAAUUCUCAAUAGGAAUGAGAAUUUUAAUUAAGGUGUAAUUUUAUUUUUUACUUUUUUUUGUUUAAUGUUUGGAAAUUGAUGAGUUGUUUCAUGGAUGAGUAAUAUAUCUACUAGAUUUAUAAUAAAAUCAUAAAUGAUAAAAGGAACAAAAGCUUUUUAUUAUUAGUCAUUUUACUAAAUUUCCUUUAAAUUCUUCGAUUAUUUUCAAUAUUAAUUUGAAGCCCCUGCACAAUGUAUUUCCUUAGAGCUUUUGAAUGAUACCACUCUGCUGGCUAAGUAAGCAGGCCAACAUUAUUAUUAUGUAUAUAUUCAAUGAAGAAUUAAGUCAAUUUAAGUUUUCUUUGAGUCUUACAUUUUACUUAUAUUCUCUUAAAAUGUUUAUACAAAAUCUAAUUCCUACAACCCAUCCACAUCCAUUUUAAUUUCCAUCUCAGAAUGGAAAUUCUUUUUCCUGAUUUCUUCACUGAAUUUCAUGUAACUUGAAAAUUCUUUUUCUUUUUUUUUCCUUUUUUUGAAUCUACUUGUUAUAAUAAAAAAAAAUUUAUUUUUCUGAUUUUAUCAUACAUAUAUACAUUUUUGAAUCAAGCCUGGUAUUACAUAGAAGGUUAAAAGCCAUGCCUCACCUUUACAUGGAUGAUAAUGAUAAAUAUAAUUAUUGUUUGUCAUUUCCUUUUCAUGUCUUCAAACCUGGUACUUAAAUUUUAAGCAAUUCAUUGGUUAUCUCAUUUUACUAAUUGAGAUUAUUAAUUUAAAGAAAGGGCAGUGAAGAGCAGAAUCUAUCAAAUGAUGGACAGAAAAUGACUUAUGGUAUUUAGUUAUAUACUUUUAUGUGCCAAAAUUAACUUUGCAUUUCAUCCUUUUAGGAGUUGGUAAACUCAGUCUCAGUGAAAUAUUGAAGUUGAUUAAUCAGCUUUUUUUUGCUUUUUUUUUUUACCCCUCACCAGAAAAUGCUUUGUCUAUUUUCUUAUGUUAGAAACCAUUAUUAAAAUGGGCAAGUGAGAUGACGAGAUAUAAUUGAUACAUUGAGGGAUGAAACACUUUGCUGUAUUUGGUCAUGAUGCUGUUUGUCCUGAGCUCAAAUCUCACCAGUGUCAAUUUGUUUUGCCUUUCAUUCUUCUGCAGUUCAGUAAAAUAAGAAUCUGUCAUGUUGGGAUUAUUCACACUCUACCCACCAGGAUAUGUAGUUUUUAUGACUGUUAGAAAUAAUUAUUAAUUUCAAGAAAUACAAUAAUAUAAUGUUUUGCAAGGGGAGCAAAAACAAUAAAGGAGAACAGCGACAUAUAUUUUGGGUAGAUUAUAUGUAUUUUAAAAUAAAUUGUUUGAUAUCCAGUGUUGAAA